rnacentral:rRNA from 1 species
AUUGAACGCUGGCGGCAUGCCUUACACAUGCAAGUCGAACGGCAGCACGGGAGCAAUCCUGGUGGCGAGUGGCGAACGGGUGAGUAAUAUAUCGGAACGUGCCCAGUCGUGGGGGAUAACGUAGCGAAAGCUACGCUAAUACCGCAUACGAUCCAUGGAUGAAAGCGGGGGAUCGCAAGACCUCGAGCGAUUGGAGCGGCCGAUAUCAGAUUAGGUAGUUGGUGGGGUAAAGGCUCACCAAGCCGACGAUCUGUAGCUGGUCUGAGAGGACGACCAGCCACACUGGGACUGAGACACGGCCCAGACUCCUACGGGAGGCAGCAGUGGGGAAUUUUGGACAAUGGGCGCAAGCCUGAUCCAGCAAUGCCGCGUGCAGGAUGAAGGCCUUCGGGUUGUAAACUGCUUUUGUACGGAACGAAACGGCGAGCUCUAAUUCAGUUCGCUAAUGACGGUACCGUAAGAAUAAGCACCGGCUAACUACGUGCCAGCAGCCGCCGUAA